UGUUGAAACAAUGGUUCCCAUACGAUCACAGCAGUUAAGCAAUAUCAAGCCUGGUCAGUACCUAGAUGGGUGACUACUUGAGAAUACUAGUUGCUGUAA